rnacentral:lncRNA from 1 species
GCGAAUUCAGAAAAACUCUGGCUAAUCAUCCCCAAACGAACUUUAAAGAUCUACCAAGCCCAACCUUAAAAGUCGAAAAUGAAGAAAAUUCUUCACAAACCUCAAAUUUGGAGAAAUUGGAUCGAUUGCUCCAAGGGUUAGAUAGAGAGAAAGGUAGCAAAAGAGAUAUGCAAAUGAAUUUUGUAAAAUUGUAAUAUACCUAUUGAUGGAUCAUUCAGGCAUCAUGCAGUC